GAGAUCAACUGGGUGGCGUAGGCUAACUGAUCUAGCACCCUUGACUGUAACCACCACACCAUCUGCCAAUAUUACUUUCUUCAGUACACCAGCAUCCACAUCAUGCUGCAGAAUAAUCACAAUUCAUUAGAUACACACAUAAUUAACAGAACCGUUUCCAAUUGAACAAACCAAUUCAAGCAUGUGUGGGUAUUUAUUUUCAGUCACUGUGCAAUAAGAAACAGGCACAACAGAGAUAACUCAUGCAUGAUUAUGAGAUUGGUAAAUUAAUGGGAAUCCAAGUCCAAGACAUCAUACUACAACAAUUGCCUAAUCAAUUAAAUAAAAAUCAGUUCCAUAAUGCAAAUUUCAAUAUCAAUAUAAUCCAGUCAUGAUCCCAAAUCAUUAUAAUGUAAAUGUUGGACUCAAGGAAAUAGUGAUUAGAUUUUCAUCACUCCCAAAUUAAAUAAAAUCAAAUAAAGAAUCAAAUUUUAGUUUUAAACAAAUGAAUAC
rnacentral:misc_RNA from 1 species